UGAGUACUCCCUCCGUUCCGAAUUACUUGUCGCAGGUAUGGAUGUAUUUCAGUUCUAGAUACAUCCAUUUCUGCGACGAGUAAUUUGGAACAGAGGGAGUAUAUU
rnacentral:pre_miRNA from 1 species